rnacentral:rRNA from 1 species
AUAGAAGGCUUGCGGCAUGCCUAACACAUGCAAGUCGAACGGCAGUACUGUUAAGAUUUCGGGCUUAAUGGGUGGCGAGCGGCAGAAGGGUGAGUAAUGCGUUGGAUUCUGUGCUUGAGAGUAAGAUUAGCUGAGGAAACUGGGGUUAAUAAUGCAUGAUCUCGAGCGUCCACAGGCAGUGGAUCAUUCGGGGACUUGCGCUUCAGGAUGAGCCUACGUCGGAUUAGCAUGUGGGUGGGGUAAAGGCCUACCAAGGCGACGGUCCGUAGCUGGUCUGAGAGGAUGACCAGCCACACUGGGACUGAGACACGGCACAGACUCCUACGUGAGGCAGCAGUGGGGAAUCUUGGACAAUGGGGGAAACCCUGAUCCAGCGAUGCCGCGUGUGUGAAGAAGGCCUUCGGGUUGUAAAGCACUUUAGUUGGGAAGAAAAGUAAUGAGUGAAUAACUGAUUGCUCUGACGGUACCCAAAGAAUAAGCACCGGCUAACUCUGUGCCAGCCGCCGCGGUAA